UACAGAGGUGGCAAGCGUUGUUCGGAAUUACUGGGCGUAAAGGGCGCGUAGGCGGUCUUGUAAGUCUUGUGUGAAAUCCCUCGGCUCAACUGAGGAACUGCACGGGAUACUGCGAGACUUGAGUUCGGGAGAGGGAAGCGGAAUUCCGGGUGUAGCGGUGAAAUGCGUAGAUAUCCGGAGGAACACCGGUGGCGAAGGCGGCAUCCUGGACCGAGAUUGACGCUGAGGCGCGAAAGCUAGGGGAGCAAACGGG
rnacentral:rRNA from 1 species